UCCCGCAUAGCAAAGUAGUAGCAACAUCAAUCUCAAAACAUAAUGGAUACUAGGGAUCAAACCCCAUCUAAACUAACUCGAUUACAUGAUAGAUCUCAUCCAACCCAUCACCGUCCAGCAAGCCUACGAUGAGAUUACUCACGAACGGUGAAGAGCAUCAUGGAAUUGGCGAUGAAGGAAGGUUGAUGAUGACGACGGCGACGAUCUUCCCUCUCCGGAGCCCAGAACGGACUCCAGAUCUGCCCUCCAGAGGAAG
rnacentral:lncRNA from 1 species